CUAGUUUCAGGGGGUGAAAGAUGAAUAUUGAAUACUGGGUCGUGAAAAUAUGAAUAUUGAUGGUAGGAAAUUCUUGUAGGAAUAUGAAUUUUUAAGGUAGGAAUAUAAGUUAUAUAGAGGUAUGAAUAUAUUACAGUAAAUAUUUAACGAAAAUAUUCCUCUUCCACCCGUGAGACCAGUUUUCUCAUGCAUAUUUUGCUCUCGUCAAUGACACCGGCAUACUUUCUGCAUGUAUACAAAAUGUUACAGGGGUGUUCCGAAAAAACUCAAUAGCUA